rnacentral:rRNA from 1 species
GACGGAAGGUGCAAGCGUUGCUCGGAAUCACUGGGCGUAAAGAGCGCGCAGGCGGCUGGGCAAGUCCGAUGUGAAAGCUUCCGGCUUAACUGGAAAAUUGCAUCGGAAACUGCUCGGCUUGAAGGUGGGAGAGGGUAGCGGAAUUCCCGGUGUAGUGGUGAAAUGCGUAGAUAUCGGGAGGAACACCAGUGGCGAAGGCGGCUACCUGGCCCAUUCUUGACGCUGAGGCGCGAAAGCUAGGGGAGCAAACGGG